AUGAACGCUGGCGGCAGGCCUAACACAUGCAAGUCGAACGGAGUUAUAUUGUAGCUUGCUAUGGUAUAACUUAGUGGCAGACGGGUGAGUAAUGUAUAGGAAUCUACCUAGUAGUACGGAAUAAUUGUUGGAAACGGCAACUAAUACCGUAUACGCCCUACGGGGGAAAAAUUUAUUGCUAUUAGAUGAGCCUAUAUUAGAUUAGCUAGUUGGUGGAGUAAUAGCCUACCAAGGCAAUGAUCUAUAGCUGAUCUGAGAGGAUGAUCAGCCACACUGGAACUGAGAUACGGUCCAGACUCCUACGGGAGGCAGCAGUGGGGAAUAUUGGACAAUGGGCGAAAGCCUGAUCCAGCCAUGCCGCAUGAGUGAAGAAGGCCUUUGGGUUGUAAAGCUCUUUUAGUGAGGAAGAUAAUGACGGUACUCACAGAAGAAGUCCUGGCUAACUCCGUGCCAGCAGCCGCGGUAAUACGGAGAGGGCUAGCGUUAUUCGGAAUUAUUGGGCGUAAAGNNNGCGUAGGCGGAUUANUA
rnacentral:rRNA from 1 species